CCACAAAACGAACCAGCCCUUUUUUUCUCGAAGAAGAUGAAGCAAGCUAUUCUUACAUGGAGUCAUUCUCCAACAUUUCUUCCCAAAUUACCACCAACCUCCAUUUUCCUCAAACCCCAAAAUAUCAUUUUAAGGAUUUAUGCAACUGUAGAGAAUGUUGGACUAACAGCUAAAGAGAGAAGGCAAUUGAGAAAUGAGAGAAGAGAAAGUAAGACAGGUUAUAAUUGGAGAGAAGAAGUAGAAGAAAGACUUAUUAAGAAACCAAAGAAGGAGUAUAAGUCUUGGACUGAAGAACUUAAUCUUGAUAAUCUUGCUAAAUUGGGUACUCAAUGGUGGGUUGUUAGAGUUUCUAGAGUUAAUGGUCAUGAAACUGCUGAAAGGAUGGCUAGAGCUCUUUCUAGGAACUUUCCUGAUAUUGAUUUUCAGGUAUACAUUCCAUCUGUACAGGUCAAAAGGAAAUUAAAGAACGGAACACUUUCAGUUAAACCGAAACCCCUUUUCCCAGGAUGUGUGUUUCUUAAGUGUGUGCUGAACAAGGAAAUACAUGAUUUCAUUCGAGAAUGUGCUGGAAUUGGAGGCUUUGUUGGAUCCAAGGUUGGAAAUACAAAACGGCAGAUCAAUAAACCCAGACCUGUAGAUGAGGAUGAUCUGGAAGCCAUAUUCAAACAAGCAAAGGAAGAACAAGAGAGAGCUGAUCAAGCUUUUGAAGAAGAGGAACAAGGAGAAGGAGGUUUAGAUUCUAGUAUAGCUCCCACUGACGAUAAAGUUGUGCCCAAAAAACGAGGAAGGCAAUCUAAAAAAGCUUCAGACCUACUUACAGUUGAUGCAUUGAGAGGAUCUGAUGAUAAAUCUUUAAUACCAGGGUCAACUAUUGAAGUUGUGUCUGGAGCCUUUGCAGGAUUUUCAGGGAUUCUUAAGAAGGUUGAUAGCAAGGCAGGAUUGGCAACUGUUGGAUUUUCUCUAUUUGGCAAGGAGACUCUAGCUGAUAUAGAUGUCAAAGAAAUUGUAGCUGAGGUUGGCUGACCUGUUUAGGCUGCUGAUACUUUUUUGUCUGAGAUGGCUCAUAUGCUAUAAAGGGAUGGAUCUAAACUUAUAAAAAGAUAAUUCCAAGCUCAAACAUAAUGGAACCACACAUACCCAUGGGGUGUAGGCAUCCCAAAGUUACGUUGGGUCGGAGCAUCUUCUUCUCUUUCUGCGCAGUGACCAGGUGUUCGAGCAGAUCGUGUGUUGACUUUAAAGUGGGACGAGCAACAUAUUAUGAUGAGUCAACAGUAGGCAGCGGGAUAUUAGAGCAAAGGUCUGCAAGGGAUUAAAGCUAAGGCAAAGGCUGGAUUAAUCUGAUUUGCCUAGGGGAUUCCAGAGUUAACUUGGGUAUCAAUCUGUUGCAAUUUUGACUUGGAUGUGGCUAAAAUGAGAUGGUAAUCUCUCUAGCCUAAACUCUGGACGAGUGUACUGUUGCUGCAGAAUGAAUAUUCAGGUGCAGAUCAAAUGCCUGUAUGAAUCUAUUUGAAGUUAUUACAUGAGUGUGUCAAAUAACACUAGGAAAAGAGAGUGAGAAAUCUUCUUCGCAGCUUCCAAAAUGGGAGUUGUCUUGUAGUAUUGCUUUCCUUGUAGAUGAAGAAAAUCUUGUUUUUUUUUUUCCAAUGGGGAAUUGCUCUGUAUUAUUGGAUAUGUCAUAGAUAUUGAAUCUCUUUCAUUGAAGGAAUUAGAGAAUAUUAUUAGGUUUAAAA